UACGAAGGGGGCUAGCGUUGCUCGGAAUUAUUGGGCGUAAAGCGCACGUAGGCGGAUUGUUAAGUCGGGGGUGAAAUCCUGGAGCUCAACUCCAGAACUGCCUUCGAUACUGGCGAUCUCGAGUUCGGGAGAGGUGAGUGGAACUGCGAGUGUAGAGGUGAAAUUCGUAGAUAUUCGCAAGAACACCAGUGGCGAAGGCGGCUCACUGGCCCGAUACUGACGCUGAGGUGCGAAAGCGUGGGGAGCAAACAGG
rnacentral:rRNA from 1 species